AUUUCUAGCAGGAAAAACCCAGCUUCGGGAUGGCAAUAAGCUACAGGACUGCAGUGUCGAGGAUUCUGGGGAGCGGCACGGUCGGGGACCGCGGGAAGGGGAGCCUGCGAGGUCAGGGGAAAAGCCUCAUUCCAACGUCCCAAGAUGGCCGCCGCUGCCUGUCCGCCUCCUGCGGUUCGCUGUGACACGUGAGUACCUGGCAAGCUCCUACUGUGGUGCCUUGGGGUCGGGGAGGGGAUCUCAGCAGGAGGACUUCUGCCCAUCUUUAACUGGACACGAGAUGACUUUGUUCUUUGGGUGCCUACUGCUAGACAGACGCAUCCUGUUGUGAUAAAGGAGACCAGCUGGAUUUAGGACUGCGGCGGCGUGUUUGCGGGCUCGCAGCACCAGCCGGCACGAGAGAGCGCAGUGCUCGCUCUGCUGCUUCCUCAGCUGCUGAGGAAAUGGGACACGAGUGGAAAUGGAAGAGGAUGGAGCACAGAGGACGCAGGGCCCUGCCGGGUGCCGUGCAGCAGCUGGUGUUGUGAAUCAGGCCGUCACCAGUCGGAGAACGGCUACUUCACAACACCAGGGUGGCACUGCACCACACUUCGACGCCAGCCAGAGGAGCAGUGAGCAGUAAGGGUCCCGGCAUAGGCACAGCCAGAGGAGCCCAGACCUGCUAAGGUAAUCAGGCACUCCACUCCUAUUUGGGUAACCAGCCUCCCCUGGGAGUCUGGAAUAGAAGUUAGGCCCCCGAAACAUCUCUGUGGUUCCAGUCCUUAGGCUCUGGUGUGCUGUGUGAAUGGGGAAGAGGUAUGGAAGGCAAUGGAGUGAGCAGUCUCUGUAUGCCGGGCACAUCUCCCACACGAGAUGGCUGUGGUCCCUGCUCUGCUGGAACACCUCAUUGCAUGCUUUCUGUAAAGGAUGCUGUGGCCACAUUCCUUGGAAAGGACACUAAAGCUGCCUGGUUCUGAUCUCUGGAUGCAGCUUCCUGCUCUGGGAUGCAGGAUAGAGGGGACUUCUCACUGGUGGGGUUUUCCCUUUCCUCCCACCCCAAGUAAGACUGCCUAUGCACUCCUAUGUGUUGGCUGCCCGCUCUCUAGUCUGUCACGAACAUUUGCAUGGUUGUAAAGCUAAGAGAGGAGAAAGAGGGCAAACAAGGUAGCAUAGAAGUGAUUAAGGAUUUCUUGAAAGUUUUCUUGUUAUCAUAACUCAACAGGUUGAAGCCUGUAGUAUAAACUACCUCAGUCUCAUCCUGGAUAUGUGAUGCUGGCAGGAAGAUAGAUGUAGGGGAGAGUCAGGAUACACACGAGAUGAGAAAUAGCGUGGGACAGUCUGGAAGUGCACGUGCACAAAGGCACAUGGGUGGCUGCAUCACAUGUCCUCAUCCUCCCCUUCAGGAAAGCUUCCUACAGAAGCAACCCCGAGUUCUGUCCAUAGUGAAAAUCCCUCAGCCAACACCAUGCAGGGCAUGGGGGCAGCCUGAUCUUGCAGAUCAGUACUGGUGUUUUUACACUAAUGAGAGAGAUAUGAGAGGGAGUGUUUGGAGUUCAGGCAGGAAUGAGUAUGACUUUGUCAACCUGACGUGUAAGAAGUCUGUUUUAUUAAACUUGUCUUCUGCUAACAGAAAAUGUGUCCUCUGUGUCCCGGUCUCUGUGUUUAUUGUAACCUUGUUUUAAAAGCUCGCUACCUGUAAGGUAGCUGUAAGGUUUGUUCACUGUGAAGUUUGCUUCACAGGAUAAAAUAAUGCAAGCCUUCAGAAAUAGAAGGUUACAACAACGUAGCCCCUCUUACCCCUGCAUACGUGCUCUGUUUACAUGGGCGGCUGUUCAGAUGCAGCACUAAAUACCAUUUCC
ensembl:lncRNA